rnacentral:rRNA from 1 species
UACGGGGGGGGUAAGCGUUGUUCGGAAUUACUGGGCGUAAAGGGCUCGUAGGCGGCCAACUAAGUCAUACGUGAAAUCCCUCAGCUUAACUGGGGAACUGCGUGUGAUACUGGAUGGCUUGGAUUUGGGAGAGGGAUGCGGAGUUCCAGGUGUAGCGGUGAAAUGCGUAGAUAUCUGGAGGAACACCGGUGGCGAAGGCGGCAUCCUGGACCAAUAUUGACGCUGAGGAGCGAAAGCCAGGGGAGCAAACGGG